CUCCAUGUGUUUUGGGGACCUGUCAGCUGUGGCAGUCUCCCUUCCUAGCCAUGGACGGGCAUAUUCUUAUUUAUUGGCAAAGUUGUCACCAUUUAAUUGGUAUCAGAUUCAGACUUGCACAAGUGACAUUC
rnacentral:snoRNA from 1 species